rnacentral:tmRNA from 1 species
GGGGGCGAAACGGCUUCGACGGGGAUAGUGAAGUCUAGGUUGCAUGCCGAGUUCCUGUGCGCUCGUAAAAUUGCGCGGGGCAUAAAUACAAAUGCCGAUAAUUACGAAUACGCUUUAGCCGCUUAAGGCUAACGUCCGCUCAGCUGCUCCUGCCGGGCUGAACCGGGCGCCGAUAGGUGGGAUAGCUACCCGACUUGUUCGUCGGUCGGCGCGGCGAAACUACAGACGUACUAGCCCAAUAAGGAUCCGGUCCCUGGGAGUCUUACGAGGCGAAAUCAAAUCGGGGAACAUGCAUGUAGAAGCCUAAGCUGAAGGUUUCCGGACGCGGGUUCGACUCCCGCCGCCUCCACCA